CAGAGCUCUGUGCUCCCCCUACAAUAAACCAGCUUAUACCCUGUACAGAAGAGUCGGCCCUUCCUUUCGCUGCCGUGGUCGCGUUCAACAUCUACCGCCUGUCGCUGUGUGGGGGAAAAGACCCCACUGGGAGGAGGUGGCUUGCGUGCCUUGCCGCCCCGACCUUCGACGUUGCUGCAGUGCCACAGGGACUGAGCUAGCCUGCAGUAGCGCUGGUCAGGGCUUACUCACCGAAAGGCACUGCGACAGGUCCUGUCACUGGUCAUCACAGAGAAGAGAUCAGUGCCUACCCCUUCUCUUCUCCUCGUGAGGAAGCAGUAACUGCAAUGAGGUCUCCUCUCAGUCUCCUCUUCUCCAGGCUGAACAGACCAAGUGACCUCAGCAGCUCCUUAUAAGAGGCUGAAACUGCAUACAAUAUUCAGCGCGAGGCUGCACCAGUGCACAGCAGAGAGGGACAAUCACUUAUGCCCCUUGAGCAGCUGGCAAUGCUGUGCUGGAUGACAUGCUGGCAAAAGGAAGUUUUUGGAGGAGGUGGAUGGAGAAAAAAUUGUGUGACUUUUACCAUUUUUUCAAAAAUUUGCAUGAUUAACAUAAUGAACAUGUACAUUAGUGUACACUUUUAAUGCACUAAAAUUGCUAUUAAUGCCGAUUAUUAUGGUAAAUAUAUUUUAAAACUCUUAUUAUACAUCUGUGUUUAUGAGUAGAUUUACUAUCUAUGGGCUUUAAUAUCAUGCUUACACUUUUUAAUUAUUACUACCAGGGUAACAUUGUUAGGCAAUGAAAUAGUUAUAGACUUCUGGCAAUGGAUCUUAAACACUUAAUUACCUGUAGUGCAAGAAAAAAAGAAGUCGUAAAGUUUUGAGAGAUCAAGUACUGAAACAAGUUAGUGUUAGUCAAAACAGUUCUCAUUUGUAUUUGGAAUACAGGAUCAAACACUUAAGAAAGAUCCAUGGAGUCUGAUAUUAUAUCUGGGAUGAAAUCUAGCAUCAUACUUUAA